rnacentral:rRNA from 1 species
GAUGAACGCUGGCGGCGUGCCUAAUACAUGCAAGUCGAGCGAACGGACGAGAAGCUUGCUUCUCUGAUGUUAGCGGCGGUCGGGUGAGUAACACGUGGAUAACCUACCUAUAAGACUGGGAUAACUUCGGGAAACCGGAGCUAAUACCGGAUAAUAUUUUGAACCGCAUGGUUCAAAAGUGAAAGACGGUCUUGCUGUCACUUAUAGAUGGAUCCGCGCUGCAUUAGCUAGUUGGUAAGGUAACGGCUUACCAAGGCAACGAUGCAUAGCCGACCUGAGAGGGUGAUCGGCCACACUGGAACUGAGCCACGGUCCAGACUCCUACGGGAGGCAGCAGUAGGGAAUCUUCCGCAAUGGGCGAAAGCCUGACGGAGCAACGCCGCGUGAGUGAUGAAGGUCUUCGUAUCGUAAAACUCUGUUAUUAGGGAAGAACAUAUGUGUAAGUAACUGUGCACAUCUUGACGGUACCUAAUCAGAAAGCCACGGCUAACUACGUG